AAUCACAUUGAUAUCCUGUAUUGAUGUGUAUGGCCUGAGGCUGUGCUAAUGUUAUGGUCUGGGCAGCCUAUGAGGACCUUGUUUGAUUCGCAGUACUACUGCCACAGCGGGCUAUGUUCGCGGUCUGUGCCAUUGCCAGAAAUUGGCUGGAGAAUCAUGCCCGCGCUCCGGCUGACUGUGAAGAGCAAGGAUACAACUUUUGCUGUGAUAUUGGUGAUUGUCAAUGCACAGUUGGGAGUGAAGGACAUGAAAGGUUUCUGUGACAAUCCCUCUACCCCAUCCCCUAGAAUAACAGCCAACACAGGAAGUCACUGAGGAGAACUCUUCAAAAAGUGUGGUGGAGAUGCUGGAGUAUCUCUCUAUAAUUGGUGGCUUCUGGCAGAAGUAUGGGAGAAGAAAAACUCAAUUCUACUUAAGGGGUAGACCACUAAAUCAUGUUCCAAUGUCUUAUUGUUUUGUUGACAGAUUGUCAACAUAUGUAAAGAUGAAUAAUGAAGACAACAUCCAUAAUGUAUACAUUCUUAUUCCCUUAAUACAUAGCAUAUUGUUUAGCAAAAGUGAGGAGAGCAAAUCUGGUGAUGACCAACCCAAGUACUUCCACCGGAUCCCAGGAAGCUCCAUUAUAGAAACACAUCUCAAGCAAAUGGAUCAAAUCACCCCAGCAAUGAUUUGCUGAAAUUCUUGUGGGUAGGAAUGGAACAAACUCUCACAGUAUUUAAACAAGGAGCUACACAGUCAAAUUUGAGAUGGUUGUCUCACUGUCAUAUGACUUGUCCUAGUAUGAAAAGCCAAACCCAAGAGAAACAAGCAAAACCAUACAGAGUGUGAACCUUUUUUGACAAAGUUGAAUUGAACACUGACUUUAAUACAGCCAAGCCAGCUAAAGAGACUACAGACAUUACUACAUAAUGCUUAAAAGCGUUAUGGAAGCUAAUAAAGCUCCUCAUCAGGUAACGGUUUCACCUCUGGAUUUACAGACAUAUAUACAGAUCAACAAUUUUCUCUCACGCUUUACUUAAAUACAAUGUGAGUUGAGUUUGUAUUGCAAUUAAAAGUACAGGUAAAUGCUUUAAGCUUUUAAUGUCAUUAGGUCACAGAAAAAUGCAGGUUAUAUAUGACAGACACUACUCAGAAGCUGUAGUUAGAGGUAGAAGAUAGUGAAUUCUCAUAUUCUCCAUGUUGAAAUAUAAGUGGCACACAUGGACCAUGAUAAAAAAAAAGUGAACAUGGAAGACCCUCAGUCAGGUUGGAAAAGCUAAGAAAACUGGAUGUGGUGGUUUGAAAGAAAAUGGCCCCAAAGGAAGUGACACUAUUAGGAGGUGUGGCUUUGUUGGAGAAGAAAUGAGCUUGUUAGAGGAAUUGUGUCAUUAUGAGGACAGGUAGGACUGAAGGUCUCAUAUGCUCAAGUUAUUCCUAGUGUGACAGUUCGCUUCCUGUUGCCUGCAUUUCAACAUGAACAGCUACCUCUUCAGCAUCAUGUCUACCUGCGUGCUGCCAUGUCUGACCAUGAUGAUAAUGGACUGAACCUCUGAACUAUAAACAAGUCACCAGGAUUAACUGUUUUCUUUGUAAGAGUUGCAUGGUCAUGGUGUCUCUUCACAGCGUAAGAAAUCCUAACACACUUUGCUAUUGUCCACAAACACAAGAAACUUGCAGUGUAAGGUUAAAACAAUGGUAGGAUACAUAGUAUGAUGAGUAUGGGCUCAGAACAGAAGAAAGUCACCUUUGGCCCUUCCAUCCAUUCUAUGUGCACUUUCUUAAGGGUAACCCUUUGUCAUGAAGGCAAGAUCAAGAAAAGGGAGGGCAAGUUUCAUCAUCAGAAUUGUUUUAUAUCAGGAAAUAGCUGUUUCUUUUAAAUGACAAAAAAGUGAAGAAGAAAACAGUCUUCAUAAAAAAGUAAUAGAAAAGGGGGCACUUGAGAAACUCAUUUGAUUUUUACCUCCACUUUUUUGAAGCAUGAUUGGCAUACAGAAAGUCACAUAUAUUUAGCAUAAAUCACCCGAUAAGUUAGGGGAUAAAGAUACAGAUUGAUACUAAUAUCACAACCUAUUUUAUAAAUACAUCCGCUACCAGAUUUUAAUAGAAAGACCUCAGGAUAGAAGUACUGUCCCAACAUCUGCCUCAAGGAGAAAAAUGGUGGAGAGAAGAAAAAAAGUAUUCCAUGUAAGCUGGCAUCAAGUUCAGACACAUGACAGACAGUAACCACACAUACAACAGGAGAGGGGCCUUUAAAGAAAGUUCAAAAACCCAACAUAGUGUUAAGUAAAACAUAGAAAAUAGAUAGAAAGGAAAAUGGAAGUUAUAUGAUUUUAAAUAAUGCAAACAAGCAGGCUGACUUAUAAGCUCUGGGCCUGCUGCCCUGAUUCCCUGAAAGCUACUGCACUAUGGAGAUUGAACCGGCCAUCUUCUGUAACCAGACAAGGCUUCCAGUGGUGUAACUGGACAGCAUCCAAACCACAAAACCUUCGACCUACAAAUCUGUCUUACCUAUAAGAUGUGCUGGAAAAAUGGUGACAAUGAACUUGUGGGACUGGUCAAAUCAUAACUAGUCUAAUUUGAAGUCAAUGAGAGGGAGCGCAUGACUGAUACUGGAUCACCAGGAACUGUAAGCUGGACAUCUCUGAGACCUAGGGUAGAACCAAAUAUGACUGGAAAAAAACAGUUAAAUGAUUGCUAAUGAUGUUCUACUAUACUCAUAGGUUGGUACCUAGUCCAGAAGUCAUUAGAGAUGCUGCCUCCUGCAAUUGAAGAUACAGAGAUCCAUAACCAAACACUAGGUGGAUAAAGAGUCCAGGUUGGAGGUCUCCAUUGAGUCCCCCUCAAAGCUCUGAGAACCUUUUGGAAGGAGAAAGGAUGAAUUAUAGGAUCCAUAGGGGUCAAGGACAACUGGAGAGAACAGUUUAGGGAAUCAACUAAGCAGGGUUCACAAGGACUCACAGAAACUGAAGUGGCAGUAGUGGAGCUUGCAUGGGUCUAUGCUAGGUCUUCCACAUAUGUUAUGGUCGUCGGAUUGGUGUUUUGGGGGAAUCUUCUUCCAGUGGGAGUGUAGGUAUCUCUGACUAUUUUGUCUGCUUUUGGGACCCCUUUCCACCUGCUGGGUUGCCUUAUCCAGCCUUGAUGGGAGAGUUUGUGCCUGGUCUUAUUGUAUCUUAUUGUAACUUGUUCUGUUCCCUUGAUGUUCCUGGAAGGCCUGUUCUGUUAUGGAUAGCUAUAGGGGCAGGUGGAUUUGGAGAAAAGGAGGCUUGGUGAGGGGUGGAGGGGUGGAAGGAGGAGAACCUGAGGUUGGAAUGUAUUAUAUGAGAGAUACAUAAAAGUUAAAAAAAAAAGAUUUAUGAGGAGGAAAGUAUAGUAUCUCAUUAAAGAGGAAAAGUGUAGUACAGUAUCUCAUUAAAGUGGUUAUUCCACCAUCUUUAUAGCAUGGCUUAAGGAAAGCCAGUCAAAGUGACAAAUCUAGAUCUAUUGGAAUGUGACCCCACCAAGGUUAGAGAAUCUAUUCUCUUAACUAGAAACCGUUAUUUUCAUUCUAACAGGUCUAUGCUUGUAAUAUGAGGGGGCCGGCUUGUUGGGGUUUCCGUCCCACCCGGUACCCCACAACCGGCAAAUCCCAAAGAGAAG